UCAUAAUAAAACUGACCCGAGUUCACCUAAACUUAUUAGACACUGGUCAUGUGAUCAACUCCCCCUAGUGGUGAACCAUCGGAUUUUCGAAACGUUUCGAAACAGUUAUGACGUAAUGAAGCCUCGUUUGCUAAAAUCACGUGACUUUGGCCAGUUUGAAACAAGCUCCGAACCACUGAUUCGAAACAAAAGAUUCGUAAAUGUUUCGAAGCCUCAUGAAGCAGUGCUUCGAAAACGACCAUCACUACAUAGCGGGGGCGGCGAAAGAGAUGGAGAGAUUUAAUCGCCUCAAGCCCAGCUUUACCCGGUACGAUGUGCGAGUUGAGAUUUCUGAGUUCCAAAGCGCAGGAUCAAAGGACAGCCAUGAUGUCAGAGGAGACCGCUAGCUUACCGCUAGCGUUAGCUUACGAGCCGCCGACCAACACCAGAGGAUCUCUUCCUAACUUCAACAGAGUACAUUAUGGGGAAUCGAGCCGUUGUCAGAGUAAGAACUGAUCUGUCCAUGCUGGAUAUUGAUGAUUUCAUCACAGAAAUCUCUCAGCUGAAGAAAGAGACUGGAGACGAGGCUGAGGAGAUGAAUGGAUGAACAGAAAGAUUUAAACUUCUCACGAAACCUUUCCACCUAAUUCACACAAUACAUGUGUAGGCUUUCAUCGGACUGAUGCGCGUUGUCGCGGUUACGCGUCUGGACGGAACUUUACUUCCGGUCUCUGUUUGUUUAAUGUUCUUGCUAGUGGCUAUCAUAGAUCACUGCUAUGUGAAUGGAGGGUUGGCAGCCAAUUAUACAUUUAUUUUACUCAGUAACGUUAGCUCAGUGAAGAUUUUUUUGUAUGAUUUAACGUUAGCUAACGUUUGAACUAAGGUUAUCUACUUAUUUAUUUUGCUUGCUAUAUUAAAUAAACAAAUGUUAAGGACUCUAUUGAUAUUGAUAUAAUUAUUAUAAAAGUGAGGAAGCAAUGCAUGAAUAUUUGUCGUCAACCUGCGUGAUUAUUUCGUCUGUGUGCUAUUAAAGUUCUUGAAUUCGUUCAUACAUUUAGAAGAAAUUCAAGUACAAAGGUUUUUGUUGAAUCAUGAUUUAUUUGUGAAAACAUCCAAACACAUAUGUUAUGCGCACUUUUGUGCAUACGAGUGCUCGGUAAAUAAGACACAUUGUUUUUGGUGUUUCCUGGUUUAUUCAUGCUGAUGUAAUAGUG